rnacentral:lncRNA from 1 species
GACUAAGCAAAGAAACAACAGCACCAGUAUCUGCCUGGCGGUACAUCUCUCCUAAAUCUGCAACCACCGAUGCUGCAGCGGUGUGUACUCUAAUACGCCUUUCACCGCAAGAUGCAGAUACAGUAACGCCACUUGGAAGUACACAAUCUGCGUUGUAAGCAAUGUCUCUUCAAGAGCAAACUGCAUUGCAUAAGCUUUAUCACAAUCAACAGCGGGAAGUGCUAUUAGAUCCGUUGAUCUU